rnacentral:rRNA from 1 species
AUUCCAGCUCCAAUAGCGUAUAUUAAAGUUGUUGCAGUUAAAAAGCUCGUAGUUGGAUUUCUGGUGGGAGCGUUGGGUCGGCCCUAAGGGCUCGUACUCAAAUGUUUUCCGCCAUCCUUGGAGGGAUGUUGUCUGGCAUUAAGUUGUCGGGCUUCCGAUCUCCAUCGUUUACUGUGAAAAAAUUAGAGUGUUCAAAGCAGGCUUACGCCGUUGAAUACAUUAGCAUGGAAUAAUAAGAUAGGACCCUGGUACUAUUUUGUUGGUUUGCGUACCUAGGUAAUGAUUAAUAGGGACAGUUGGGGGUAUUCGUAUUCCGUUGUCAGAGGUGAAAUUCUUGGAUUUACGGAAGACGAACUACUGCGAAAGCAUUUACCAAGGAUGUUUUCAUCG